CCUACGGGGGGCUGCAGUGGGGAAUAUUGGACAAUGGGGGGAACCCUGAUCCAGCCAUGCCGCGUGUGUGAAGAAGGCCCUCGGGUUGUAAAGCACUUUCAGCGAGGAAGAACGCCUGGUGGUUAAUACCCAUCAGGAAAGACAUCACUCACAGAAGAAGCACCGGCUAACUCCGUGCCAGCAGCCGCGGUAAUACGGAGGGUGCGAGCGUUAAUCGGAAUUACUGGGCGUAAAGCGCGCGUAGGUGGCUUGAUAAGCCGGUUGUGAAAGCCCCGGGCUCAACCUGGGAACGGCAUCCGGAACUGGGAAGCUAGAGGGCAGGAGAGGAAGGUAGAAUUCCCGGUGUAGCGGUGAAAUGCGUAGAGAUCGGGAGGAAUACCAGUGGCGAAGGCGGCCUUCUGGACUGACACUGACACUGAGGUGCGAAAGCGUGGGUAGCAAACAGGAUUAGAUACCCGGGUAGUC
rnacentral:rRNA from 1 species